rnacentral:piRNA from 1 species
AUGCCUUGCUAACACCUUUCAGUGACUAAGGA